rnacentral:rRNA from 1 species
GACAGAGGCCCCAAGCGUUAGGCGGAAUCACUGGGCUUAAAGCGUGUGUAGGCGGACGCCUAAGUGUCUUGUGAAAUCCCACGGCUCACCCGUGGAACUGCUGGGCAUACUGGCGGGCUUGGGUCGCUCAGGGGCAGACGGAACAGGCGGUGGAGCGGUGAAAUGCGUAGAUAUCGCCUGGAACGCCGAAGGUGAAAACAGUCUGCUGGGGGCGCGACCGACGCUGAGACACGAAAGCCAGGGGAGCGAACGGG